AUCACGACACUAGUUAAACAAUCUAGUAGAUAUUGUUGUUGGCUAAGAUUAAUCUUAUCUUGUUAAGAAAAUCUAAUUGUUGAAACCUAGAUCUAAAUUUUGGUCAAACACUACCGGCCUGCAACUUUUUGGGGCCGAACACAUUGAUAUUUUGUGGGUGACAGUGAUACUCAAAGCCACGAAGCCAGAAGACCUUAACCAAUUUGAUACUAUGCUGAAAUGUUUGUCUCGUUUUGAAGCUUAUAUUGUUAAAGAUAGGACACUUUUAUUUGUUGUCUAAGGACUGCUGUAGUAACUAAUCAUUAUGGUAGUCUUGCUUAAUCAGUUUUCUUGGUUCUCUCGUUUGCUAAUUCGAGAGCUUCUCUCAAAAUUUUCCCAGGAUAAUUGGAAAGAUUUCAUCAUUGUUUCAGGUAUGUGAAGAUCAGUUUGGUCAUAGCUCAUAUGCUAGCAGAUGACUUAAAAGAGAACCGUGUUAAUAAUUCAGGCAUCUGUUUUGAUCCCAAAGGCAAAGACAGCCUUGGCCUCCUGUCAACUUAAGAUCAGAUGGUGAGAGUGAGCUCAUGUUUCCAAGUGCUGAAAAUGCUCCUUACUGAAGCAGAGUUAGCCAAAUAUCUCAUUCAGAAGGCAGAGGCUGCUGGGAAAGGCAUCAUGAGCAUUUUGGGCCAAUCUGGCAUACAUAAUCAAGUUCUACAAGGGAACAGGACUGCAGACCUUCUCCUAAGAGUUUCCUGAUGCAAAUUCCAUUUGUUUCAAAAGGCUUUCAAACUUACUAGGAAAGGAAGAGAAAUGACAAUGCAACAACUUUUGGAGUAGGGUUUGAUUGAACCUUUUAGAUUCUUCAAGAAGCUCUAUCUUCUUCAUCAAACUUGCUGCCGCAUGCUGCAUAUGCUGCAUUAUUGUGUAAGCUAGAUUAAGCUGUUUUUCAAUUUUUUUCAAGAAACUAAUUGGUUGUCAAUUCAAUCUAAGGAGGAGGCAUAAAUCCAAGGCAUUACCUGCA